CGGCGGCUCCCCCAGCAGGGGGCGCUGUUCCAGGCGCGCCGGCGCGGGCGCGCGCGGGGCCGGAGGGCGGGGCUGGAGGCGGAGCUACAGCAGCUGGAUUUGGGGGCCGAGGCCGCAGCUCCCACCGGGACCGGGCUGGUCAGAGAUGGAGGGCACGGGAACGGGCCCGGGGACGGACGCCUUGCCGCGUGCCCGGCGCUGCAGGAGCUGCUCCAGCGCUGCGUGCCCGUCCCGUGCCGCCCGGCCAGCGACGAGGAGCUGCUGCUGGUGCACAGGUGGGCAGCGGGG